rnacentral:rRNA from 1 species
UCGAUUCCCUUAGUAGCGGCGAGCGAAACGGGAAGAGCCCAAACCAACAAGCUUGCUUGUUGGGGUUGUAGGACACUCUAUACGGAGUUACAAAGGACGACAUUAGACGAAUCAUCUGGAAAGAUGAAUCAAAGAAGGUAAUAAUCCUGUAGUCGAAAAUGUUGUCUCUCUUGAGUGGAUCCUGAGUACGACGGAGCACGUGAAAUUCCGUCGGAAUCUGGGAGGACCAUCUCCUAAGGCUAAAUACUCUCUAGUGACCGAUAGUGAACCAGUACCGUGAGGGAAAGGUGAAAAGCACCCCGGAAGGGGAGUGAAAUAGAACCUGAAACCGUGUGCUUACAAGUAGUCAGAGCCCGUUAAUGGGUGAUGGCGUGCCUUUUGUAGAAUGAACCGGCGAGUUACGAUUUGAUGCAAGGUUAAGCAGUAAAUGUGGAGCCGUAGCGAAAGCGAGUCUGAAUAGGGCGUUUAGUAUUUGGUCGUAGACCCGAAACCAGGUGAUCUACCCUUGGUCAGGUUGAAGUUCAGGUAACACUGAAUGGAGGACCGAACCGACUUACGUUGAAAAGUGAGCGGAUGAACUGAGGGUAGCGGAGAAAUUCCAAUCGAACCUGGAGAUAGCUGGUUCUCUCCGAAAUAGCUUUAGGGCUAGCCUCAAGUGAUGAUUAUUGGAGGUAGAGCACUGUUUGGACGAGGGGCCCCUCUCGGGUUACCGAAUUCAGACAAACUCCGAAUGCCAAUUAAUUUAACUUGGGAGUCAGAACAUGGGUGAUAAGGUCCGUGUUCGAAAGGGAAACAGCCCAGACCACCAGCUAAGGUCCCAAAAUAUAUGUUAAGUGGAAAAGGAUGUGGCGUUGCCCAGACAACUAGGAUGUUGGCUUAGAAGCAGCCAUCAUUUAAAGAGUGCGUAAUAGCUCACUAGUCGAGUGACACUGCGCCGAAAAUGUACCGGGGCUAAACAUAUUACCGAAGCUGUGGAUUGUCCUUUGGACAAUGGUAGGAGAGCGUUCUAAGGGCGUUGAAGCAUGAUCGUAAGGACAUGUGGAGCGCUUAGAAGUGAGAAUGCCGGUGUGAGUAGCGAAAGACGGGUGAGAAUCCCGUCCACCGAUUGACUAAGGUUUCCAGAGGAAGGCUCGUCCGCUCUGGGUU